rnacentral:miRNA from 1 species
UCUUGGUUAUGGUGAAAAUGG